GUGGAGGCCUGACCAAUCAGAGCCCGAGAGACGCCAUUGCAAGCCUCUGCAGAGGCGCUGGAGCUGGGUCAGUCCGCCGCUCACCCCGCGGCCGCAACUUCCCGCCUUCUCAGUGACAACCACGAACUUGAGCGUGUGGUCCUUGCCCAGGAUCUCCUCGUUGCAUAAAAUGUCCAGCUGGGGGAUAAGGAGGUUUGAUUAGCAGCAGAGAGGUGCUCAACCCACACUGACAUGGCCACCUUGAUGCUGGCCCCAUCACACCCCGUCUACCACACCUGCCGUACUGAGCAACGGGAAGAGGUGGUUUGCGCCCCAUGAGCAGCCCUGACAGCUCCGGAAUCGGGCACCCUGGUUCCCCAGGUGGCACAGGUGCCUGAGAGGCCCAUAGGGCCAAAGUGUUUCCCUCCCCAUCCCACCCAGGCCCGGUCCACACCAGCCCCCUCCCACAGCUGCAGCCUCCAGGGGCACCCUCUCCCCACAGGCCCUACCUCCGGUCCAGGCUGUCCCUCCCUCUCGCCAUAGUGCAAAAAUGCACUAGGCUCCCCAGUCUUUUAAAAAAAUUAGACUUUUUAAAGAACAAUUUAAGGUUUACAGCAAAAUUGAGAGGAAGGUACAGGGAGUUCCCGUCCCCAUUGGUACCCCCCGCCACCAACACCCUGCAUGGGGGCACAUUAGUCACCACCCAGGAACCUGCACUGAUGUCACCUCCACCGAGUCCAGAGCUGACGUCAGGUCGCCCUGGUGGCACAGCCACAGGUGGGCAAACAGCAGCAUCACCGCCCAGGAGCCCUGUGCCCGCCCACUCCUACUACCCUCCUCAAGCCCCUGCAGCCUCCGGAUGGUUCUGCCUUUUCCAGUGCGCCAUGCUGCAGAGCUGGAGUCGCACGGCCUGCAGCCUUUUCAGAGGGGUUUCUCUACUUAGUAACAGGGACUUGAUUUUUCUCCCCUGUGCCUGCUCUUGGCCCGACUGCUCAUUUCUUUUCAGUACUGGAUAACAGUCCAGUACGGAUGCACCACGGUUUAUUUUUCCACUCAUCUACUGAAGGGCAUCUUGGUCGCUUCCAGGUUUUGGUAAUUAUGAAGAAAGCUGCUAUCAACAUCCGGGUGCAGGUUUUUGUGUGGGCAGGAGAUUUCCAGUGGGUAAAUGACAGGGUGUGGCUGCUGGGUGGUUUGCCAAGAGUGUGUUUCGUGUUGUCAGCAGCUGCGAAGCUGUUCUCCGCAGGGCCUGCGGGUUCCGCUUCCCACGGGAAUGAACCUGCACUCCCGGCGUUUCCCGAAUGUGUUGUCAGUGCUUGGGAUUCUGGCCCUUCUAUGGGGUACGCGUGGUGCCACGCAGUUUUCCUUGUUUUUCCCUGAUCAUGUAGACAGUUCUUCAGAUUCCUCCCUGGGGAAGGCGUGAAGCAGCCCCACCUGCCUGAGUGGCUGGGUUGGGGGCUCAGAGGCAUGGUUACCGCAGCAGCAGCGCAAACCUCACACUCUUCCCUGGAGGAACCAGCCCUGCGCUGGGAAAUGGCCAACCUCUUCCCCACCUCCUGCAGCCCCACUGUCCGGCAGCUUCCCGCUACACCUCCACAUGAAAAUCCAAGGACUUCCUCGGCCUGCUCUGUCCCCAGCUACCAUCCAUCUUUUCUGUUUUGCUACACAGAAAAGCAAACAAAACGAUAGAAACUUAGCAAAAAGCCUUGCCCCAUUUCCUUCUCUCCCUUCCCCCCGUGUCCUGACUUGGUUUCUCCAUGAUCUCCAGGCAGCCUGUGCUCGUCUCCUGCGGCUGCCGUGGAAAUUAUCACGAGGUGGUGUCUUCAAACAAUAGAAAUGUACUCAGUUCCAGAGUCCAUAACAGCCACGCUCCCUCUGCAGGCUCCGGGGGAGAAGCACAGUCCAUUCCGUGCUGCUGCCACAGAACACCACACACUGGGUGAUUUAUGAAGAACAAAUUGAUUUCAGCACAGUUCUGGGAGCUGGGACAUUCAAGGUCACCACGUUGCCACCUGUGAAGGCCUUCUGCUGCGUCCUCAUGUUGGGGAAGAUCAGAAGUGAGAACACAUGCUGGCCAGUCCUUUCACAGCAGCAUCAAUCCGUGCAUGGGGCAGGGCCCUCGGCCUGAGUGCCUCCCCCAGGCCCUAACUCCCAGCACUGCCCUGCUGGGGAUGGAAUUUCCAACAUAUGAAUCUGGGGGAUGCCUUCGGACCACAACCGGGGAGCCUGCCCUGGCUUCCAGCUGCUGGUGGCCCAGGGGCUCCCUGGCUCGCCUCGAGGCUGCCUCCCUCCAGCCUCCAGUCUGUCCUCUGCUCUGUCCUCACCAGGGCCUCCUGUCUCGAGUCUUCCUCCGCCUCACUUGUGUCGUGGGAUUUAGGCUCCACCCAGAUAUUCCAGAAUUAUUUCAUCCCAAAAUCCUUUAUUUAAUUAUAUCUACAAAGAUCCUUUUCCAAACAAGGUCCCAUUUGCAGGCUCUGGGGGUGAGGAUGUGGCUUAUCUUCUGGGGCCACCACUGAGUCCACUGCUGCUACAGACAGCAUCUCAAGUCUGUCCACUUCUCCACCCUGACCGCCCCCACCACAGUCCUCUCCUGCAACUCCUGGCGCUGGCCUCUCCUGCGUCCAUUUCUGCACAGCCUGAGCGAUUUUCAAAAACGACACCUCAGACCCAUGCUCCUGCCCACAGCCGCCAGCGCCUUCUGUCUCCAUGCAAAGCUGGACCCUGCUGGCGCCUGCAUCCCCAUGGUGUCACUGCCUUGGGGGCUCACAGGGACCCACACUGGCAUGUUCAUGGUGCGCCUGCUGCCAAGGCCGCCUCAUGCCAGCACUCCUUCGUCUCCUUACACACCACAGCCUGGAAGGGUCCUCCCUCUCUGCAUCCGCCCAUGUCUCCCCUUGUGAAAUUAAAGCACAGAAUUUCUUGUUUUGAGGAAAA